AGAGUUUGAUCAUGGCUCAGGAUGAACGCUGGCGGCAUGCCUAAGACAUGCAAGUCGAACGAAGUUAUUCAGGAAGAAGAAGUACUUGUACGGAAGACGAAUGAAGAAACUUAGUGGCGAACGGGUGAGUAACGCGUAGGUAACCUACCUCAAAGACGGGGACAACAGUUGGAAACGACUGCUAAUACCGGAUAGUAUAUUGUUAAGCAUUUAACGAUAUUUAAAGGAGCGAUUGCUUCACUUAGAGAUGGGCCUGCGAUGUAUUAGCUAGUUGGUAAGGUAAAAGCUUACCAAGGCAACGAUGCAUAGCCGAGCUGAGAGGCUGAUCGGCCACACUGGAACUGAGACACGGUCCAGACUCCUACGGGAGGCAGCAGUUAGGGAUAUUGGGCAAUGGGCGAAAGCCUGACCCAGCAAUGCCGCGUGUGCGAAGAAGUUUUUCGGAAUGUAAAGCACUGUUGUAAGUGAAAAAAAGCUCAAGAGGAAAUGCUUGAGAACUGAUGUUAACUUACGAGAAAGUCACGGCUAACUACGUGCCAGCAGCCGCGGUAAUACGUAGGUGGCAAGCGUUAUCCGGAAUUAUUGGGCGUAAAGGGUGCGUAGGCGGCAUAACAAGUCUGGUGUAAAAGGCUAUGGCUCAACCAUAGUAGGCAUUGGAAACUGUUAAGCUAGAGUGUAAGAGAGGCAAGUGGAAUUUCUUGUGUAGCGGUAAAAUGCGUAAAUAUAAGAAGGAACACCAGUGGCGAAGGCGACUUGCUGGCUUACAACUGACGCUGAGGCACGAAAGCGUGGGGAGCAAAUAGGAUUAGAUACCCUAGUAGUCCACGCCGUAAACGAUGAGUGCUAAGUGUUGGGCAGGAUACUGUUCAGUGCUGAAGUUAACGCAUUAAGCACUCCGCCUGAGGAGUACGGUCGCAAGGCUGAAACUUAAAGGAAUUGACGGGUCCCCGCACAAGCGGUGGAGCAUGUGGUUUAAUUCGAAGAUACGCGAAGAACCUUACCUACACUUGACAUCCCUACGACAGUUAUAGAGAUAUAAUUUUCUACGGACGUAGGUGACAGGUGGUGCAUGGUUGUCGUCAGCUCGUGUCGUGAGAUGUUGGGUUAAGUCCCGCAACGAGCGCAACCCACGUACUUAGUUGCUAACAUUAAGUUGAGGACUCUAAGUAGACUGCCGGUGAUAAACCGGAGGAAAGUGUGGAUGAUGUCAAAUCAUCAUGCCCCUUAUGUGUAGGGCUACACACGUGCUACAAUGGCUGGUACAACGAGAAGCAAGACCGCGAGGUUAAGCAAAUCUCUAAAAGCCAGUCCCAGUUCGGAUCGUAGUCUGCAACUCGACUAUGUGAAGUUGGAAUCGCUAGUAAUCCCGGGUCAGCAUACCGGGGUGAAUACGUUCUCGGGGAUUGUACACACCGCCCGUCACGCCACGAGAGUCUGUAAUGCCCGAAGAUGGUGGCUUAACUACGGAGAGAGCUAUCUAAGGUAGGACAGGUGAUUGGGGUGAAGUCGUAACAAGGUA
rnacentral:rRNA from 1 species